rnacentral:rRNA from 1 species
AUGGUCAGUCGUGUCCGUGCAUACCAUAGGUCCUCUGCUCCCUACGAUUAUUUCUACCAAGCUUGGAGAUGCCCAGAUCCAGAUGUGCAGUCAGUGAGAAAGAGAGAGGUAACUGUGGAGUCGAUCUCGCAGCGGCGGCUCCGCCUGUCGGGCUCCUCCCAGGGCUCGUUCAUCCUGCCGGCCACCGGCAACCUGCUCGCCGGUGAGUAUGUGCAGCGGCCCGAAGAGGCGCCUGCGCUUGCAGGGGAACGCGCCGGAUCUCGCAGGGCAGAUGAGGUACUUGGGCAUGGGAUGAGAAUCACAAUUGUUGUGGAUUUACAAGAUGAUAGUGCAGAUGGAGAAUAUCUUGUUAUUUGGCUGUUACUAUCCAUAAUUUUAUCUCUCGGCAACGAAUAUAUUAGAUCAAGCAUCAUAUCAUGUACACGAUAA